UUUACGGAGAGUUUUGAUCCUGGCUCAGGAUGAACGCUGGCGGCGUGCUUAACACAUGCAAGUCGAACGGUGAAGCCAAGCUUGCUUGGUGGAUCAGUGGCGAACGGGGUGAGUAACACGUGAGCAACCUGCCCUGGACUCUGGGGAUAAGCGCUGGAAACGGCGUCUAAUACUGGAUAUGAGCCUCUUCCGCAUGGUGGGGGGUUGGAA
rnacentral:ncRNA from 1 species